ACUCCUACGGGAGGCAGCAGCAGGGAAUCUUGCGCAAUGGGCGAAAGCCUGACGCAGCAACGCCGCGUGGGGAUGAAGGCCUUCGGGUUGUAAACCCCUUUCAGGAGGGAAGAAAUUGACGGUACCUCCAAAAGAAGGACCGGCCAACUACGUGCCAGCAGCCGCGGUAAUACGUAGGGUCCGAGCGUUAUCCGGAAUCAUUGGGCGUAAAGAGCUCGUAGGCGGUUCAGCAAGUCGGCUGUGAAAGUCCGAGGCUCAACCUCGGAAUUGCAGUCGAUACUGCUGUGACUCGAGUCCGGUAGAGGAGAAUGGAAUUCCCGGUGUAGCGGUGAAAUGCGCAGAUAUCGGGAGGAACACCAGUAGCGAAGGCGGUUCUCUGGGCCGGCACUGACGCUGAGGAGCGAAAGCGUGGGGAGCAAACAGGAUUAGAUACCCUGGUAGGCUCUGC
rnacentral:rRNA from 1 species